GACGAACGCUGGCGGCGUGCUUAACACAUGCAAGUCAAACGGAAAGGCCUCUUUCGGGGGGUACUCGAGUGGCGAACGGGUGAGUAACACGUGAGUAACCUGCCCUUGACUUUGGGAUAACUUCAGGAAACUGGGGCUAAUACCGGAUAGGAGCUCCUGCUGCAUGGUGGGGGUUGGAAAGUUUCGGCGGUUGGGGAUGGACUCGCGGCUUAUCAGCUUGUUGGUGGGGUAGUGGCUUACCAAGGCUUUGACGGGUAGCCGGCCUGAGAGGGUGACCGGCCACAUUGGGACUGAGAUACGGCCCAGACUCCUACGGGAGGCAGCAGUGGGGAAUAUUGCACAAUGGGUGGAAGCCUGAUGCAGCAACGCCGUGUGCGGGAUGACGGCCUUCGGGUUGUAAACCGCUUUCGCUCAUGACGAAGCUUUGUGUGACGGUAGUGGGUAAAGAAGCACCGGCUAACUACGU
rnacentral:rRNA from 1 species